AAACCAGGCUUGAUCUCACAACCCUGAGAUCACAACCUCAGCCAAAACCAAGAAUUGCCCACUUAAUCCAUUGCACCACCCAGGUGCCCCCUAAACAUUAUUUCUAAUGGCUUCAUAAUAUUCCAUUAUAAUGACAUAUCCAUCAGAAUCACUUAUAAAUUACUUUCAGCCCAGUCACACCACUGGAUGUUUAGGCUAUUUCUAACUUCUAAUCACUUUAGUAACAGUUAAAAAAAAAACUCUGAAUAAUCUCUGUGCAUAAACAUCAUCUAACAUUUUGGAUAUGGUCUUAGCUGUACCUCCACCUCCAAAAGUGAAAUAAACUUACCAGAAUGUACGAACAAUUCAAAUUUUUAAAACUAAAUCAGACUUUCUAUUUAUCCCUUACUGAAUUUCUUUUCUAAUUUGGGCCUUCGUUCUGGAUGACUGUGAACCCUGAUCUAUCAACUAAAAAAGCAACCUGUCCCAACUCUGUGCCAUCAACAAAGCUGACAAACACACCUUCUGUAUCACGAUCCACAACACUGGAAAAGAUGUUGAGUAGCUCAAGGCCAAAAAUAGAACCCUGCAACACUAAUUUUCAGACCCCAUUCCAGGUUGACUCAGUGCCACUAGUUAACAGUUUUUGCGUAUGACUGUCAAAUUAAUAACACCACCCAGCCCACAUUCUACCGCUUAUUUAAUACAGACCAUCACAUCUUAAGAAACUGUUAAAUACUUUACCAAAGCCAGAGUGCACCAUAGCUACUGCCUCAUUCCUCUGUUCUAGUAACAGAACCACCAUAUAAAACAGGAAAUGGAUUCAAUUUGAUACCGUUAGGCUGACUUUUGAUUAUCCUUACACCCUACCACCACACAUUUUUAACCAAAGAGCACUUCAGCUCUGACUUCUAUUACUGCCACAACAGCAACAGUUUAAGUAAUCAGAUUGUGCAACCUGUAGCUCACCUGGGGAAAUGCUCAGAAUCACUGAUGGUUAUGAACUUCCAGGGUAAACCAAACUGUCUCUAGACCAGAGUCCUGAAUUUACUCACUUCAGCUGGUCCUAAAAUAAGCCUAGUUUUCCAGGGGUCAUUUGCACAAACACCUGGGCUUAAACCAAUAAUUCCGCGGUCAUUUUGAAUCCUGGAUUAUAAAUCUCUGAACCCUAGAGGCCUACCCCCUGGGGGUUUCUUACGACUAGUGAAAUAAGAAAUGACAGAGCCCCUCUCUUUGCUCUUCCUUUACUACUGACUCAUACAACCAAAGAUCCUGAGAAUCUAAUGUCAUAUGGCAUUUGACAGUGGUGACUCACAUCUCCCCAAAUUAUUACCCCAACAUCAUUCUCAGAAGAUACAUGCCAGGAGCCACCAUCUACUGAUGCCAGCCAGAAGUAGAAAAUGGGAGGGCUUGAGAAAUCUUGAGGUCACUAGAAAUUGGCCUCACAAUACAUAACACAGCCCAAAGCCCUAAUUAGUACCAUUCCAAUCAUCAGAAAAAUCUUUCAAAGUCCUAGCCAGCAGUAACUCAGAAAGUGCUGGCCUUUUGGCUUGCCUAAAACAAAUUACUUGCACACAAAUAUCUCAGAUUCCAACAUGUCACACUCCUACCCAAAUCCCCCAGUGGCCACUCAAAGCCAGGACAGCCAUCCCAAAUUCCCUAGGUUGGCAUUUAAAGUCUCUUGAAAGAUCCGGUCACAAACCCAAAGGCCUGCCGGACUAAACAAGAAAUAUAGAGCAACCACACUCGUGCAACAGGGAAUGCUGGCACAAUGACAACUGGCGACCAUAGGACCCGUCUCCUGUCCACAGGGGUUCACCAUUGCUCACUGCCUGAUCUGAUUCUUUAACGGAGUCCCAAAUCCAGAGGUUUUCUGGAUUGUUCCAAUUCUUUCAAACCUUUGUGUUCUCCAAAUUAUAACACUUCUGUAGGUAGAACACGUUCUCUGGGUCUCUGGUUUACAACCCCUAUAUUUUGAUCCUAACCAACCUUUCCAGACUGGCUUCUCCCCACUCUUUAACAAGAACCCUCUAUUUCAUCCUAACCCCAAGCCUUCGUCCAGGUUACACACACACACACACACACACACACACCUGCAGGGCACCAUGCAACACCUCAGAGGGUUCAUCCCAGACUUCCUUCUCUAUCCCCAAAAGUUUUCCCAAGCUACUCCAGCCCAAGCUGCUUGCCCCCUCUUAUGAACCUGACAGGUGCUUAUUUUUCCCUUUGGCAUUUAAUCAUCUUGCCUUGCUCCUUAAUCAUCGGUAUACCUUAUCUCUCCAACUAGCCUGUAAAUGUUCAAUCUCUUCCUCAUGCUUCCUUCCACUUACAGCACUGGUAAGGGGAGCCCUGCACAUGAGCAGCUUAAUAAACAUUUACUAGAUGUGAAAACGCUCCAUAACUGUGUUUUUCAAACUCUGGGUUAUAUCCAUGACAGAGUGGUUAAGUCAACUUAUUGGGAGACAGUGAGCUUUUUUAAAUGAAAAAUAAAAGAAUAGAAAAUAAAAGCACCCAAGGAGACUGCACCAAGCAAAAGAAAGGAGUACUUCAAGAACUUAAAUUAGAUUUUUACAUACAUGAUUUCGUGUACCUGGGUCAUGAUGUCAAUUUUAUUUCUUAAUGUAGGUCACAGACAAAAAAAAAAGUGCAAAACACACACACACACACACACACACUACUGUUUGAAGAAUAAAUUAGCUCAACCAUCGCUCCGUGAAAUUUUUUUGACAGUCAUAUAUUCCCUAUAAAGGAAAAAUAUCUGACGGCCGCCUCUGCCCACGCAAGGCAGCUUUCCCCUGCUAGUUCACUGAUCCUGCAUCUCAGAGAAACAAGGAGGCUCAAGGACUGUAAGUACGUUCUCCACUCCAUUCUGCAACUUUUUGCAAUCAUCCUUCAAAUUCGCCAGCCCUCAGAUGUUGCAAGUUGAGGCUUGGGGAAUUUGCUCAGCAAAUCACCCUAAGUCACCCUUGCAACAAGAAAGCGGAAUUCAGAGCUCAGGAAAAAACCGGCACCAGCUCCCCCGCUGCAGGUCGCUCUGUUCCUGAGAACUGGCAAUGGCAUGGGUUAGGACAGAUCUGGCCCUGGGAAGGGCAGUAUCCCUUGCUGGUCACUGUGCAGCUCCCCUGCCUUGUGGCUUCCCCACACCCACACCACCAUCCCCCCAAACACACCUAGGAAGGGACACCGGGAUAGCCUGAAGGUCUCAGUGGAGAGCAUAAUUCAACCGGUUUCAAAGCCCAAUAAUUUUUGUGUUUAGCAAAUUCCAUUCUUCCCUCCAAUCUCCAAUCCCAAGUUACUUUGCCAACUUCAGGACCAAGCAAUGUCAUCUGAAUGACAAUCAGAACAGACGUUUCCAAUUCAGACCCUCAGUCCCACUCACUAGCAUCCUCCACUGCUGGGACCUAUGACCUACGACCAAGACAACAUCCCACUCAACGUGUCUUCCCUCUCCUGGCUUUGGCAGCCUGGUUUCCCACCAAUCGCAGAGCUUCAGUUGCUUGCAAGACACCUAUGUUUGGACGUCUUGGCAAAUACAAGAAACCUCUGUAGCCUGUCAAUUGCUUCUCUCCAAAAUACACAUUUCCGAUUUCUCGAGUUACCAACUACAGCAGUUCCAAGGCCCUGGCGUGUAAUCAAUUUCCACAAAGAAUUAAUUUCCAUUCAUCUCCUUCCUUCACCCUGCCCCUGUCAACAGAUUAUUUCAACAGUAAUGCUUCUAAAAUCCACCCUCUUUCCCAUUUCCAGUUAUCCCAGUCCAAACUCUGAGCACUCUACAACUGUAACUGUCUACUGAUUUGUCUCUGAACAUUACUUUUAAAAACCUUUCCAAAUACCCUUUUAUUACGUCACUCUCUGGCUCAAAAAUCUUUAAUGUCUCCCCAGUACACACAGGGUAAAGUGCAAUUCCCCAGUCUGGCUUUCUAGGACUUUCACAAUCUUAACCAUUGUUCCUCUGCAUCUUUAUCUCCUGCUCAGGAAACGUUCCCUCGUCUGGCCAAGCCCAUCUCCUGUCUCUCAGGAAGGCCAUGGUCAAUCGCACCUCAUGACCCAUCUCGAGGGUCUCAUCCUCAGGAAUACAUUUCUAGUGAUUCCUGUGCAUAGCACUCUUCUCCGAGCUCCAACAGCACCUCUUCUAUACCUCAUAUUUUGACAGCUAAUUGUGUUUCAUCUUUAUUUUUUUUUUUUUUAUUUGAGAGAGAAAGGCAGAGGGAGAAGCAGGCUCCGUGCUGAGCAGGGAGCCCAACAUGGGGCUCGAUCCCAGGACCCAGGGAUCAUGACCUGAGCUGAAGGUAGACACUCAACCAACUGAGCCACCCAGGUGCCCCUGUGCCUUAUCUCGAGGUCUUCUUUCACGUGCUCAAGGAUUUGUCUUCUCCAUGAGAUUAUAAACCCUGGAAGGAAUCAUCUCAUGUAUCUUUUGUAUCCUCCCUCACUGAAAUAACUGUUUGAACCUAUUCUCCUCGGGCAAUACCUCUGCAACCUCUGGCACCUGUUACUUCUCUCCCUCUCUUGCCUUUGGGCCUUGGCCAGUGGGUAAUAUAUUCUCCAAGUGCCUAACUUUAUUUCAUAACUUAGUACCCUAAAUCCAUUCCCCAACUCUAACCUUUCCUUUGAUAUUCCUCCUCCCACCUCCCCACCCCCAGCAUCUACAGUAAUUUAGGCAGCCACAGCACAUUAAUUUGAACUUGAGCUCUCAAAUCACUUCCACCUGGUCAGUAGGAUUUCUGAGGCCUUAGAUUUCUUGUGUGCCUCCUAUCAUCUCUCCCUCAGAGCCUGGCACAGUCCUGGAACACAGCAGCCCCUCAAAAGUACCUGUGGAGUUGAACUUAAUUGCUGUUUCCCUGUGUUUCAAAUUCCUUGAGACCCAGAACCUCUGUUUACACAACACCUCAGGAGGGUGUCAAGAAAAAAAAA
rnacentral:lncRNA from 1 species